rnacentral:rRNA from 1 species
GGAUGCGAUCAUACCAGCACUAAAGCACCGGAUCCCAUCAGAACUCCGCAGUUAAGCGUGCUUGGGGAGAGUAGUACUAGGAUGGGUGACCCCUGGGAAGUCCUCGUGUUGCAUCCC